rnacentral:rRNA from 1 species
UACGUAGGGAGCAAGCGUUGUCCGGAAUCAUUGGGCGUAAAGCGCGCGUAGGCGGCCCCGUAAGUCCGCUGUGAAAGUCAAAGGCUCAACCUUUGAAAGCCGGUGGAUACUGUGGGGCUAGAGUACUGGAGAGGGUCGUGGAAUUCCCGGUGUAGCGGUGAAAUGCGUAGAGAUCGGGAGGAACACCAGAGGCGAAGGCGGCGACCUGGACAGUGACUGACACUCAACUGCGAAAGCGUGGGGAGCAAACAGG